UGCGCAGGUGGGCUUGUAAGUCAGUGGUGAAAUCUUGCCGCUUAACGGUAAAAUUGCCAUUGAUACUGCAAGUCUUGAGUAUGGUUGAGGUAGGUGAAAUGUGUUGUGUAGCGGUGAAAUGCAUAGAUAUGACACAGAACGCCGAUUGCGAAGGCAACUUACUAAGCCAUUACUGACGCUGAGGCACGAAAGCGUGGGGAGCGAACAGGAUUAGAUACCCUGGUAGUCC
rnacentral:rRNA from 1 species